CCGCCGCAGCACCACAGCAGACUGGGCAGGACUGCUUUGGCCUGACCUUGCUUGCACCCUCGGGCUAGUCGGAGCCGCUCCGCACCGGUCGCAGGCGCCGCCGAGGAGGGCUGCGUGGGCGCCAUUUUCCACCUCAGCACAGGUGCAGUCGGUUCCUCACAGGCCCGCCCGGUUUCUCUAACACGGCUGGCUCGAUCUCACUGCUAGCUGUGACACCUGAAGGAAACUCCAUAGGUGAACAUAUAGAUUAUGGAUCCAUAAAGAUGUCUGUAACUCCGAAAAGCUCACACACACUUUUGAGACGAACAAGAAAAGAGAAAAUCUGAAGGUACAAAAUCGCAUGGCCAAGUGGCAUGAUGCCAAGAUUCCAGGAAGCACAGUCCUGUGAAAGAUUCUGAUUAACGCAGUCCUCAGAAUUUAAAGCAAGCUCCCCAAAUAAUUCUGAUGCAGCCACUUCACGUACUCACUGUAUUAUGUGU
rnacentral:lncRNA from 1 species